rnacentral:lncRNA from 1 species
AUUGCAGCAUGAGAAUCCCUCAGGCAUGCAGGCUGCGAAUUUGAUAAUCUGUAUGUUACACAGUACAAAAGUUUGCUGGCUAAAUAUCGCGAACCCUUCUAACGUGAGGCUGACAGUGUCCUGGGUCCAAUGAACAAGAAAAUCUACUGUAACAUGUUGUCAGUGGGAAAGCACUUAAGUUCACAGAAAAGCCUUGGAGGGUCCUGGAAUGAUUGUCACUAUACUGGAUGGACUGCUGAACUAUUGAAUUACUUCCAUCUUUUAACCACACUAGGAAAUCAUCCAAGGAGUUGAAAUAUUUAUUGCAGUAAUUUCUGACCUUACAUACUUGAGGUAAGGUAUACUUUUCCCCCCAUACAACUAUCAUGAAGUUAUCAUGUCUGUCUUCUUUAACUUUGCUUUUUAAGAGACAUUAAUCUACUCUUUUCCUCUACCUUUGAUGCUCUAAUAAUCCCUUCAGAGUGCUCUUAAUCUGAAAAUAUAUGAGUGCAGGAAAGACUCUUAGGUCAUGAAAUAUGAGCAAGCUGUUUGACUCUUGAAGAAUAAAGGGGAAAAUGCAUUACUCUUCAGAUUAAAUCAAUAAAAGUACCCCAUUUCCUUAAACACAAUGUGCACAGACUGGAUUAUAGUAGAGAAACUUAAUAGGUUGAAAGGAGUAUUUAUUAUUAAAGCUACUUGAAAAAAUGAAGAUACUUAAAUUUUAAUAUAUUGCUGGCUUUAUUCAAAUAAAGAAAAUUUAGAAAAUAAAGAAAAUUUGAAAGAAAAAAUCUGUUAUUCCACUUUCAGAGAUAACCAGUAUUAAAAUUUUGCUAUAUAAUUGUAAUAUUUGUUUUACAGAUAUUUGUAAUGGGGUGUGCGUGUGUUGUUUGUGUUAACUUGCUAGAUUUUUGCAAACAAGAAACAUUUAUGAUGUGCUUGUUCCUUGCCAGACUCUGUACCAAGCACUUUACAUACACUAAUUUACUAAUUCUCACAGUCCUGUGAGGUUGGUGCUUUUCUUAUCCCCAUCUGUACAUAAGAAAAUUGAAGCUCAGAAAAAUUAAAUAUCUCACCCAGGCUCAUCAGCUGGUAAACCCACUCAAAACUUGAACCAGUCCCAUGCCAAAGCCCAUACCAAUAAGUUUUUUUUGGCCGCACCCUCGGCCUGAGGAAAUUCCUGGACCAGGGGUGAACCUGAGCCACAGCCGUCACAACAACAGAUCCUUAACCUGUUGAGCCACGCGGGAACUCCCAGUAGGCUUUUUAACAUACAUCUUUUCCUUGACAAAGCACUUACUCCUUUUUUCCUGCAGCAUCAUUUAUAAUAAAUGCGUGGUAUUCAUUUAUAUGGGUAUACAGUGGUUUCUCUACACUGUCUCUUUAUUUUGUUGGGCAUUUAUCGGUUUUUAUUUUAGUUUUAGAAACAACAUUGUAAUAACAUCUUUCGUGCACACCUGUGAUUAUCUCCCUAGGGUGGUUUGCUGCAUGUGGCAAUGCUGAGUCAGCCACAGUAGGGGAAUGUCUCCUUCAAGUUUUUGAUGCACUCUGCUAAUUGCCUUCUCAAAAGGUUGUGCCAGUUGAUAUUCCCACUAGCAAUAUAUAGAAAUGCCUGAUGACCUUAAGCCUUCAGUGUUAGGAGUUGGCAAAUGGAUACUUUUUUUGGUCUUUUAAAAAGAUUCCAGGUGUCCUUUAUCACGUCCAUCUUCUUGCCUCUAAUCCUUAGAGCCACAGCCUCUGACCGGUUUCUCUCUCUCCACUGUAGACAUCACUUUGUCACUAAAGGAAUUGAAGGACAGUGGGUAAGAGCAUGGGCUCUUGAGCUAGAUGCCUGUGUUCAAUUAUGGCAGUGCUGCUCUGCCUCAGUUUCCCCAUCAUUAAAAUGGAAAUAAUAAUAAAGCCUUUCCUGUAGAUGGUGCUAGGUGAUAGUUGAUGUAACGUAUUUUAGAACAAAUGCAUGAUGUGCUUAAUAAUUAUUGGCUACUUCUAUUGUCUUCCAGAAGUCCAUGCUCAUAUAAUUAAAAAACCUUAGGUUAUAUGCAGUUGAGCCUUGAACAACAUGGGUUUGAACUGCACCAGUCCACUUAUACACAGAUUGUUUUCAAUAGUAAAUAGUACAUUUCUACACCACCUGUGCCUGUUUCAAUCUGUGGACACAGAACCCUGGAUACUGGCCAACUAUAGAUUUUCAACUGCAUAGAAGGUUGGUACCCCUCACUUCCCCAGAGUUCAAGGGUCAACUGUACUUAUAAAUUAAAUCUGAUUAAUUCCAAAUUAGUAAUUCACAGAAGAAACUACUGGUGCUGACACUGUGAUCUGACAUGUUAACAGCCUGAAGGUCAUGAACAACCUUCCCCGCCUCAUUUGGUGCUGUGAGGUCAGGAUACUGAGGGGAGAGUAGAAACAGGAAUAAUUAGAAUGUUAAAGUAUUUCGUAGCCUCACAGAGCACUCUCACACACAUUAUCUCACUUGAUCCUAACAGUAGAGCUAUGAGGGAGGUGGAGCAGAUAUUAUUAACCUCGUUUCAUGGAGGAGGAAAUUCACUUGGAAUGAAGUGACUUGUUCCCUGAAAGUCGUGGACCUGGUCAGUGGAGAGCUGUGUAGUCUAGACCUUCUGAGUACAAAUCCUUGCUCUUGAUGCUUCAUGACAUAAUGAUAGGCACAGGUAUAGAUACCCAGGUGUGGAAAGGAAGGUACAGGUAGGAGCAAAGAGGGUUCUGUCUGGGAGAAGGCAGCAGAGUUGGGAUAAGAACUUGGACAUAUUGACAGGAAGGCAGGGACCCAGUGGGGAGGUGGCUAGAAGGGAAGAGGGAGUGAGAUCAGAAAGAGAGGGGCAACUGAAGGGUCCAGGACUGUAGAACCCAUAGGGCUGGCUGAGGAGAUGGAGAGAGGGUGCUCCAUCUUUGCAUCGAGGGGAGAGGAGGAAAGGAAGUUAAGGGUAACAUUAGGAAAGGGAAAUCCCUAUGUUGCCUGUGGAAUGAAAAGAAAUCACACUCUACAAUAAUCAUCUUGUUUCCAAAUACCACAGUGGCUGCCAGGCUGUGCUCUAGUCCUGGGUUACCCUUGCUCAGAAGUUAAGGCCACAGUGAUAACAUGUAUACACACUUGUUGGUGGUGUCAGGUGUGUUAAUCGGCGGAGAAACAAGAAGCACUAGUUCAGUUUUUGGUUCUAGAAACCUUUGUUAAGGACUGUGCUCACCAUCAAAUCAGGUAGGUGAAGUAGGGAGAUUCGAUGGUUUCUUAAUGUGUGAAAUGAGGAGUUAGAUUAGAUAGAUGUCUCCCAAGUAGUCACUUUCUAUCAAGCCAUUUUCUUUUUUUCUUCUUCUUCUUUUUUUUUUUUUUUUUUUUGCUUUAGGAUCAUACCUACGGCAUAUGGAGGUUCCCAGGCUAGGGGUCGAAUCAGAGCUGUAGCUGCCGGUGCAUGCCACAGCCACAGCAACGCUGAAUCCAAGUUGCAUCUGCUUCCUACACCACAGCUCCCAGCAACACUGGAUCCUUAACCCACUGAACAAGGCCAGGGAUUGAACCUGUGUUCUCCUGGAUGCUAGUCAGAUUCAUCAACCACUGAGACAUGAUGGGAACUCCUACCAAACUGUUCUUUUUCAAAUCCAGUCUACGCUGAUCUCCUAUCUAUGACCUCCUUUACACAUCACUGCUAAUAUUCUUCCGGAGGUUUUCCUAUGUUUAUAUGCUUAAAUAAGAUUUUUAAAUAUAAUCUACUUUUUUCAGUUGAUACAUUGUAAACCUCUCCUUGUGUGUCAUUGCUGCAUAAUGAUUAAAGGUAGAUAGUGAGUCUAGUUUAGCAAUGUAUGUACUUAACAAAUCUCCCUCUAGACAUGUAUGUCCAUGCAUAUCCUCUUAACUAUUAUUUUGGGGCUACUCUUAAUUAUUCUUAUUAUAAAAAUCAGAAAGAGGUUUUCAAUCUGUAUUACUUGAAAAACAACCAAUUUACAGUCCCCCUGACAGUAUGCAAAUGUUUUCUUUUCCCACACUCUUGACAUUAGAGCAUAGAAUUAAAAAAGGCUGUUCAGUUUUAUGCACAAAUGAACAUUUAUCAUAUGUUUAUAAGCCAUUUGUUUAUCUUCCUUUGUGAAUAUUCUGUUCAUAUUCUUUCCCCAUUUCUCCAAAAGGACAUUUGCUUUUGUUACUGAUUUGCAAGAGUGUUUUUGCUAUAAACUAUCUUGUGUUAUAAAAAUAUUAUAGAUAUUUAUGUCCCUUUCCUUUGAAUUUUGUAGAGUAUUUUUAAAAGUAAGUAAGUAUUUAAUUUUAGGUGGUCGAAUCUUUAUUCUGUUGUUCCACAUGGACUAACUAGGAAGCAGGAAUGCCUUGGUAUUAUUUCCCCCAAAGUCUCUUCUUUACAUAGCAGAGUGAUCUCUUUGAAGUAUAAUCACAAGUUGGCACACCUUUGCCUAAGCCAGUCAUGGCAUCUUCCUUACCACGGCAUGCAAGGCCCAGCACAGUCCGGCUUUGCCUACUCUCCAGCCUCACCUCUGUUCCACAGAACACUAUGUUCCAGCCUCACUGGCUACCUUUCAAUUCAUGGAACAUGUCAACCUCUUUCCUGCUCCCAGGAUUCUGCAGGUGCUUGUUCCUUUGCUUGAACAUGUGCUUGCUCACACACACGCACACAUAUGCUCAUAUGCCCUUCUUAUAACUGGACUCCUUAUUCAGAGAGCCAGUUCCCUAGAGAGAGCUCUGAGCGAGCUGCUUGUGUCCACCUGGCUUCCUUCUUCACUAGCUGUGUGUCCUUGGGCAAGUUACUUCACUUCUUCACCUGUAACAUGGAAACCAACAUUAUAACAAUACCUAAUUUGGGUUGUUGAGAGGAUUGUUCAUGCUUAGUUCUUGGAGCACUAUGCUGUUCACAGAGUACAUGUGAGUGGUGAGCUGUUAUCAUGGUCCUAACCCUUCAGCUUCACCUUAAAUUUCAUCUCAGAGUGCCUUCCUGUCCAACAUUGGUUUUUUCCCUCUAUUAGUGUCUAUCUCAUAAUCCUAGGGUUUUUUUCCCCUUUGAGCAUGUAUGAAUAUGCAAUUAUUAUUAUUUUUUUUCCCUGUUUCCUUCUCUACCUUGUAGGGACAGGGAUUAUGCCUGUGUGGUCUAUAGCUAGGUCGCUAACACUUCGCGCAGUGUUUGUAGAAUGAAUAGCAACAUCUCUAACAAGAUUGCAUAGAAAUCUACCUUUAUUUUCUUAUGGUAGUUUUAUAGCUUUGUUUCACAUUUUAGAAUACUUCAUCUGUAUGAGACAUAGUUGCAAGUAUGAUUUGAGAUAUGAAUAAAAAUUUUUUUCCCAAAUGAGUAGUCAGUUACACUUUUUGUAAUUCUUUUAAAGAGAGCUCCAACCCAAAUUACAGUCCCUUAGGGACUCCGCGGUUGUUUCAGUUUCUUUUGCUUGUUGUUCUCUCCUUGGGUAGUUCUUUUGCAAAACGUAAAUGCAGAAACUGUUCACUGAUUGAGCCACAUUCCUCAUGAUGGUGCUGGUGCAGUACCGGGGAAGAUGUUCCUGGGAUCACCUACCACAGCUGGCUGAGCUUCCAGGAGGAAGGAAGACAUGAUGAGUUUUGUUUCUUUGCUUGGAACAUGGGCUUGUUCACACACACGUGUGUGUGUGUAUGCAUGAACACACAUACAUACACGUGGGGCAAUUCAGGGACUUGUUCUAUUUAUUCAAUAGCUAAUGUUAGGAAACCUGCUAGAAAUUUUGUCAACGAUGCUUUAGAUAUUGUGUCUGCCUUUACGGGUGGGGGGAACUAUUGAAAUCUGAAAACUUCAACUUUUCAAUGACUAAAUUACUUUUCCAUAACUCCCUCUUGCAUUUAAUGAGGGCUGAAAAUGCUUCGUAUAACAUGUAUUCUGAUUUUUGGUUUGGGAAAAUUAAUCAUCAUUCUUCUCCAUAUUUUAGCUUUUAAAUUAAUUACAAAAAUAAUACAUCCAUUUUCACAUAUUCAUGUCAUGAAACAUGUAUACAGAAAAGAUUGACUCUUGCAUCCCACUCUUCUGAUCCUAUACCUUAAAACAACCACCAUUGACUUUAUUGUAUAUCCUUUCAGAUUUCUUUAUGUUUAAUAAUUAUAUUAGCCUUUUUCGCCCCACCCUCCCAACACACUCAAAUAUUUGAAUGCUUUUUCCAAAUGGUGUUUUAAACUCACUUGCUUAUACCCAUCAGUGGGCUUUAAAGAACACUUGAAGCCUUUGUUUUCUGGCUGGCAGCAUCUUAGAGAAGUUACUGGUUGAUAUUUUCCCAGGACUUUGAACAUCAAGCCCUGCUUAGUUUGUGGGAAUCACUUAAUGUAAUCUUCCAGAGGGCAGGGGCUCGGGCACAUUCAGGAAUAAUGAUUUCCAUCUCACUACAGAAGAAAGAAUGGGAACUUAUAAGGGAAGCAUCAGAGUAGGAAAGGAGAAAAUCCUUCCAAGUUCAUGAGGGUGAACAUUUUAGUGAAGUGUUUCACUGGGUUAUAUAUAACAAGUAGUUUGAUUUCCAGGGAAACAGGGUGGUAGAUGGGGUACUAUCAGGUUACAGAAUUUUUUGCAACUUUCUCUCUGUCUCCUGUCAUUCUCUUUUGCCCUUUUUUUUUUUUUUUUUUUGGUCCAUGAGAAUAGAAGAUAAAUUUGAAAUGUGGGGUGGACUAAGGUGCAAAGCAGAGUGACUCACCAGGUUCUGCCCUUCACACUGGCAUUCGAGAGCAUGCCAUUCACUGCCCCAGGUUCUGAUCUAUGGCACUGCAAUCCAGAGAACUGUAAGGGUUUCUGAAAGUGAUGGGGGCUCUGGACUUAUGCAGAAUUGCACCCAUCGGGGUUUUUCUGCAGUGCCCACCUUAUUACACUAGAGAGGCAAGUUUCAUUGCUUAAGGGGACAAUUUAUGGCAAUGGGCUUAUCUCCUUGUUUUAGCUCUUUAUGUUUUUCUGCCUCUUAAUAAAAUGUGAAGUCACAAAGCAAUUAAAUCGUAGUGUAGUUUUCUGGCAGGAGUUGGAGAAAGGCUAACCAGGGGGAAAGGCUAAAAUGAUUGACAGAGGCUGACUGGAGAUUUACAUUGAGAAUAACUCGUUCUUCAAAACUUUCUUCAUUUUCUUGUGGGAAUUAUUGGGGUAAAUCAUACCCCAGGAGGAUGGAUGAUUAAAAAUGUAGGAGUUAUGAUUUCUUUUUGACUUUGUAAGUCUCUAAAUCCUCCACCCUAAGAUAGAGUUCUCAUUUCAAGAACUCUUGAUGAAAUGAUAGGAACUAGCCCUGCCAAGGAUUCAAGAGAAGCAGAAUCACUUUAAAAUCUUAAAUUGUUAAUAAGCUUGGAAUUGUGUAUAUUUUAUAAAAGAUCUUAAGAUUCAGUGAAAUGAAGUAGAGCAUUAAGUCAAAUCUACAAGUGUAGAUAUUUUUGAAUAUUCAAAUAUAUUGAAUGGGAUUUUAACUUUUAGUUUCUAGAAUUUUAAAAAUGCCAUCAGCGAUAUUAAUAUUGACAUUUAAAAUGAGGAAAAUUUUGAAAGAAGCGAACAUAAAAAUCUGGAGAAUUAGGAUUCCCUGUCACUCUUAUUCCAGCCUCCUCUAACAUAUAAAAGAAAUUCUUUUGAUUUAGCAACUUUGUAUGGAUGAUGAUCUGUUUAUUCCAAUCAAGAGAAUUAACAAAUAAAGAUAUAAAGUUCUUCAUAUCACUCUUUCUUGUUAUAGAAAUAGUUUAAUUUUAAGAGUUUUGGAAAGCUGCGUUUGAUUUGAGGUUCUCUUGUUUCCCAAUCAUAACAAUGAAAUGGACAAAGGAAAUAGCUUAAAGUAAAAUGCAAUUGUUGGUGCCUAUUGAGAAAGAUUAACUAAGAGUUAGUUUAUGUGACCCAGAAAACAAGUAGCUAAAAGAAUAAUGCUUUUUCUGAUAUGAAUGUCUAUUGCCCUGAAAGCACUCUGAAAGAGAUACCUUCAUGCCUUUUCAGGAGCAUCCCUAAUCCCCAACUUCUCAUUAAAAAAAAAGAACAAGAACCAGGGAGUUCCCUGGUGGCCUAGCACUUAAGCACCUGGCAUUGUCACUGCUGUGGCGCAGGGUCAAUCCCCAACUGUGGGCAUGGCCAAAAAAAAAAAAAAAAAAAAAAAA